ACUCCUACGGGAGGCAGCAGUGGGGUAUUUUGCGCAAUGGGGGAAACCCUGAGGCAGCAACGCCGCGUGAGUGAGGAAGGUCUUAGGAUUGUAAAACUGUGUCAGGUGGGAAGAAAUGUAUGGGGUCUAAUA
rnacentral:rRNA from 1 species